GCCCGGAUAGCUCAGUCGGUAGAGCAGAGGAUUGAAAAUCCUCGUGUCCAUGGUUCGAAUCCGUGUCCGGGCACCA
rnacentral:tRNA from 4 species